rnacentral:misc_RNA from 1 species
AGCAGCCGCGGUAAUUCCAGCUCCAAUAGCGUAUAUUAAAGUUGUUGCAGUUAAAAAGCUCGUAGUUGAAUUUCGGGGUUAGUAGGUUGGUCAUGCCUCUGGUAUGUACUGGUCUCACUGAUUCCUCCUUCCUGAUGAACCUUAAUGCCAUUAAUUUGGUGUUUUGGGGAAUUUGGACUGUUACUUUGAAAAAUUUAGAGUGUUUAAAGCAAGCUAACGCUUGAAUACAUUAGCAUGGAAUAAUGAAAUAGGACGUUCGAUCCUAUUUUGUUGGUUUCUAGGAUUGACGUAAUGAUUAAUAGGGAUAGUUGGGGGCAUUAGUAUUCAAUUGUCAGAGGUGAAAUUCUUGGAUUUAUUGAAGACUAACUACUGCGAAAGCAUUUGCCAAGGAUGUUUUCAUUAAUCAAGAACGAAAGUUAGGGGAUCGAAGACGAUCAGAUACCGUCGUAGUCUUAACCAUAAACUAUGCCGACUAGGGAUCGGAUGAUG